UCUGGAUCUGGUUCCCGCUGCUCGUGUCGUGCCUACCCAAUUGGGGGGAGCGGGUGAUGUUUGUGAUUGCGAGCUUCGCGGUGACCGGAAUCCAGCAUGUGCAGUUCUGUUUGAAUCACUUCUCAUCCAGCGUCUACCUCGGCAAGCCGCAGGGGAAUGACUGGUUUGAGAAGCAGACGGAGGGGACGCUCAACAUUGUGUGUCAUCCGUGGAUGGAUUGGUUCCAUGGUGGGCUGCAGUAUCAGGUGGAGCACCAUCUGUUCCCCCGGCUUCCGCGGUGCCAUCUGAGGACUAUCUCGCCGAUUAUUAAGGAUUAUUGCAAGAAGCAUAACUUGACUUAUGCGACGGCGUCGUUCUUGGAGGCGAACAAAAUGACAAUAAGGACACUGAGGACGGCGGCCUUGCAGGCAAGGGAG
rnacentral:misc_RNA from 1 species